ensembl:lncRNA
GUGUGUGUGUGUGUGUGUGUGUGUGUGUGUGUGUGUGUGUGUGUGUGUGUGUGUGUGUGUGUGUGUUGUGUGUGUGUGUGUGCCCUGCUUGAGACUCUAAGGUACCCCUAAGGUUCCACUGAGCUCCUGAUCACGAGCACUAAUGAACAGAGAAAGCUGCACUGCUUAACAUUCAGACAGGGCUGCGCUGAUAAGAACGGAUGAACGGAUGAAGGAGGGAAUGAAUGAAGGAGUGAAUGGAUGAAGGAGUGAAUGGAUGAAGGAGUGAAUGGAUGAAGGCUCCUCAUUCAUAACCUGUCAGCGGUGGCUGAUAAGUAUCUUCUGUGCUUCCUCCCAGAGCUAAUAAAACACGACUAAAUAAAGACGUCUCACGGUCGUCCCCGCAUGGCUUCGUUGUCAGGGAAAUGAGAUCUGGAACGACAUGAGCGCACGGGGGGGGGGGUGAGCUGGAGCUCCGGGUGGAGGAGGGGGGGGGCUGAGCUGGAGCUCCGGGUGGAGGAGGCGGGGCUUCGGCCCCGCGGUGAUGGGCGUCCUCCAGAGCAGGCGAGGCGAUCAGCCGCCCGUCAGUCCUCUCUACCUGGGGGAGGAGGAGCCCGUCCUCUCUACCUGGGGGAGGAGGAGCCCGUCGGUCCUCUCUACCUGGGGGAGGAGGAGCCCGUCGGUCCUCUCUACCUGGGGGAGGAGGAGCAGCCCAACGGGGACAGCGUCUCUGAGGCUGGGCCGAGGCCGCAGGCCACUCCCUCUCUGGGGGGAUCUGGGUCGGUUGGUUGGUUGGUUGGUUGGUUGGGUUGGUUGGUUGGGUUGGUUGGGUUGGUUGGGUUGGUUGGGUCGGUUGGUUGGUUGGGUGGGUUGGUUGGUUGGGUUGGUUGGUUGGUUGGUUGGGUUGGUUGGUUGGGUUGGUUGGGUUGGUUGGGUUGGUUGGUUGGGUUGGUUGGUUGUUGGUAGGGUUGGUUGGGUUGGUUGGUUGGUUGUUGGUAGGGUUGGUUGGGUUGGUUGGGUUGGUUGGUUGGUUGUUGGUAGGGUUGGUUGGGUUGGUUGGGUUGGUUGGUUGGUUGGGUUGGUUGGUUGGGUUGGUUGGUUGGUAGGGUUGGUUGGGUGGGUUGGUUGGUUUGUCGGGUUGGUUGGUUGGGUUGGUUGGGUUGGUUGGUUGUUGGUAGGGUUGGUUGGGUUGGUUGGUUGUUGGUAGGGGUUGGUUGGUUUGGUUGGUUGUUGGUAGGGUUGGUUGGUUUGGUUGGUUGUGUACGGUUUCAUUCUGCCUCUAUAAACAGCAGGGUUCUGGUGAACCCGUUCAUUAUCAUGCCCAUACGUGGCCUUUGGUGUUCCGGGCGUUGUUCCUGCUUAUGUCUUUAGAAGCUGUGACAGAAGCCAGGGUUUAGGGUGUUUGAGGGGGGGGGGGGCCUGGAGAUCAUAGGACCGGCUCCAGGAAACCGUCUGACCAGAGUCCACCUGCAGAAUGCCCCCCCCCCCCCUCCUCUGUGACCACGUGACCUUCAGCUCGUACACGUGUGGAGAUAUAGCUUCCUAUAUGAGUAACCUUUAUGGGGAGGAAGAAUGAAAUGGGGAACAGAAUCAACCUUUGGUAGUCUUCUGCUCUGUGAAAUGCUACCAAUCCAUGCGUCAUUAUACC